GACAGAGGUGCCAAGCGUUAGGCGGAAUCACUGGGCUUAAAGCGUGUGUAGGCGGAUCGUUAAGUACCUUGUGAAAUCCCACGGCUCAACCGUGGAACUGCUGGGUAUACUGGCGAUCUUGAGCCACCUAGGGGCGAGCGGAACAAACGGUGGAGCGGUGAAAUGCGUAGAUAUCGUGUGGAACGCCAACGGUGAAAACAGCUCGCUGGGGGUGUGCUGACGCUGAGACACGAAAGCCAGGGGAGCGAACGGG
rnacentral:rRNA from 1 species